AGUGAACGCUGGCGGUAGGCCUAACACAUGCAAGUCGAACGGCAGCACAGUAAGAGCUUGCUCUUACGGGUGGCGAGUGGCGGACGGGUGAGGAAUACAUCGGAAUCUACUUUUUCGUGGGGGAUAACGUAGGGAAACUUACGCUAAUACCGCAUACGACCUACGGGUGAAAGCAGGGGAUCUUCGGACCUUGCGCGGUUGAAUGAGCCGAUGUCGGAUUAGCUAGUUGGCGGGGUAAAGGCCCACCAAGGCGACGAUCCGUAGCUGGUCUGAGAGGAUGAUCAGCCACACUGGAACUGAGACACGGUCCAGACUCCUACGGGAGGCAGCAGUGGGGAAUAUUGGACAAUGGGCGCAAGCCUGAUCCAGCCAUACUGCGUGGGUGAAGAAGGCCUUCGGCUUGUAAAGCCCUUUUGUUGGGAAAGAAAAGCAGCAGGUUAAUACCCCGCUGUUCUGACGGUACCCAAAGAAUAAGCACCGGCUAACUUCGUG
rnacentral:rRNA from 1 species